CACACAGGUGGCUGCCUCAGAAAGAGUUUGAAGUCUGCAUGGAAGGCAGUAAAGAGGAAACAGAGAGAUGGUGCCUUUACAUAAAAGACUUGACAAAGGCUGAAGGAGUGGGAGUCUUGAGGUCAGUCCAAACCAAGAACUUAUGCAUGACAGCACAAUUCACUUCCCAUGUUUCACCAAGACAGCAUUUGCAAAACAUUCACCACAGAUGUUGUACUGUAAUCAGAGGCUCAGAUUUCUAAUGAGAAGGGUUGGAACAUCAAAGCACUAUUCUACAAGGGGAAGACUGUUUGUGGCAAUGCUAAUGUGCUAUACCAGUGUGACACAAAUCACUGCUUCAACAUUUCUGAUCGUAAUCUGCAAUAAUGCUCUCUCAGUAUCUGGCUAGUAGGCCAGAUGAAACUGGCAAUGCAAAAUAAAGGAGAUUCUGCUUCUUCUGCCUUCGUAAUGCUUGGAGUGUGUCCGCCUUAAGAGCAGGUGCAAAAGUUGCAAGAGGAAGAAGAUGCUGCCCCUGCUUUUCCUUGGUCCCAGCAGCUUCUCCAGCUAUAUGCAGAGCAUCACAUAUACAGCUGCAUGAUUUGCUCAGUUCCAGCACCAACUCUACUUACAAGAUUUCUACCA